rnacentral:rRNA from 1 species
GAUGAACGCUGGCGGCGUGCCUAAUACAUGCAAGUCGAGCGAACGGACGAGAAGCUUGCUUCUCUGAUGUUAGCGGCGGACGGGUGAGUAACACGUGGAUAACCUACCUAUAAGACUGGGAUAACUUCGGGAAACCGUAGCUAAUACCGGAUAAUAUUUUGAACCGCAUGGUUCAAAAGUGAAAGACGGUCUUGCUGUCACUUAUAGAUGGAUCCGCGCUGCAUUAGCUAGUUGGUAAGGUAACGGCUUACCAAGGCAACGAUGCAUAGCCGACCUGAGAGGGUGAGCGGCCACACUGGAACUGAGACACGGUCCAGACUCCUACGGGAGGCAGCAGUAGGGAAUCUUCCGCAAUGGGCGAAAGCCUGACGGAGCAACGCCGCGUGAGUGAUGAAGGUCUUCGGAUCGUAAAACUCUGUUAUUAGGGAAGAACAUAUGUGUAAGUAACUGUGCACAUCUUGACGGCACCUAAUCAGAAAGCCACGGCUAACUACGUG